rnacentral:tRNA from 1 species
GCCUGGGUAGCUCAGUUGGUAGAGCACACGGCUGUUAACCGUGCGGUCGUAGGUUCGAGUCCUACCCCAGGCG